AUUGAACGCUGGCGGCAGGCUUAACACAUGCAAGUCGAGCGGAGAUGAGGUGCUUGCACCUUAUCUUAGCGGCGGACGGGUGAGUAAUGCUUAGGAAUCUGCCAUUUAGUGGGGGACAACAUUCCGAAAGGAAUGCUAAUACCGCAUACGUCCUACGGGAGAGAGCAGGGGAUCUUCGGACCUUGCGCUAAAUGAUGAGCCUAAGUCGGAUUAGCUAGUUGGUGGGGUAAAGGCCUACCAAGGCGACGAUCUGUAGCGGGUCUGAGAGGAUGAUCCGCCACACUGGGACUGAGACACGGCCCAGACUCCUACGGGAGGCAGCAGUGGGGAAUAUUGGACAAUGGGCGGAAGCCUGAUCCAGCCAUGCCGCGUGUGUGAAGAAGGCCUUUUGGUUGUAAAGCACUUUAAGCGAGGAGGAGGCUACUAGUACUAAUACUACUGGAUAGUGGACGUUACUCGCAGAAUAAGCACCGGCUAACUCUGUGCCAGCAGCCGCCGUAAAAC
rnacentral:rRNA from 1 species